rnacentral:rRNA from 1 species
AACGUGAGGAACUUGCCCAUGAGCGGGGGACAACAUUCGGAAACGGAUGCUAAUACCCCAUAGGUGGAUUGGUCGCAUGACUAAUUCAUUAAAGGUGGCUCUGCUACCACUCAUGGAUAGCCUCGCGGCGUAUUAGCUAGUUGGUAAGGUAAUGGCUUACCAAGGCAGUGAUACGUAGCCGACUUGAGAGGGUGAUCGGCCACACUGGGACUGAGACACGGCCCAG